rnacentral:rRNA from 1 species
UACGUAGGCAGCGAGCGUUGUUCGGAGUUACUGGGCGUAAAGGGCGCGUAGGCGGUCUUCUAAGUCUUGUGUGAAAUCCCUCGGCUCAACUGAGGAACUGCACGGGAUACUGGAAGACUUGAGUUCGGGAGAGGGAAGCGGAAUUCCGGGUGUAGCGGUGAAAUGCGUAGAUAUCCGGAGGAACACCGGUGGCGAAGGCGGCUUGCCAAUACGCGCUCGACGGUGAGGGAUGAAAGCUGGGGGAGCAAACCGG